UCUUCUUAGUAACUGUAUUUUUCAAAAAUAAAGCAAAAGAAAUAUAUUUGCGAUGGAUCAACCACCUGCAUACAAUCUUGAAUCGGCCGCAGUGCAGGGAAAUAAGUACAUGCGUCUUCAAGACCUUCAAGUGCCCACGUUCCAACCUACCAUGGUUGUUGAACAGCAUCAGCGUGUUGUGCCUCAUCCCAGGGAUCAUAUUAUCUGGUCACUUUUCAACUUUUUCUACUGCAACCCAUGCUGUUUAGGACUGGUAGCAUUGUAUUAUUCUAUAAAGUCCAGGGACAGAAAGAUGGUUGGAGACUUGGAGGGAGCAAGACAACAUGGGAAUACCGCACGGAGCUACAAUAUUGUGAUCCUGACAUUGGCAACACUUAGUGUGGUCUUGCUCAUCAUUACUUAUGCUGUUCUCCUCUCCAGACUCCAUUAUUAAGUUGAGGAGCAUGGAGGGAUACUUUACAAAGUUUUAGGAAUGUGUGUAAUUGGCAUUACUUUCUUUUGAUAUUUUGUCUUUUAUUUAGCAUUGGUUGCU